rnacentral:rRNA from 1 species
CACGGUGGAUGCCCUGGCAGUCAGAGGCGAUGAAGGACGUGCUAAUCUGCGAUAAGCGUCGGUAAGGUGAUAUGAACCGUUAUAACCGGCGAUUUCCGAAUGGGGAAACCCAGUGUGUUUCGACACACUAUCAUUAACUGAAUCCAUAGGUUAAUGAGGCGAACCGGGGGAACUGAAACAUCUAAGUACCCCGAGGAAAAGAAAUCAACCGAGAUUCCCCCAGUAGCGGCGAGCGAACGGGGAGGAGCCCAGAGCCUGAAUCAGUGUGUGUGUUAGUGGAAGCGUCUGGAAAGGCGCGCGAUACAGGGUGACAGCCCCGUACACAAAAAUGCACAUACUGUGAGCUCGAUGAGUAGGGCGGGACACGUGGUAUCCUGUCUGAAUAUGGGGGGACCAUCCUCCAAGGCUAAAUACUCCUGACUGACCGAUAGUGAACCAGUACCGUGAGGGAAAGGCGAAAAGAACCCCGGCGAGGGGAGUGAAAAAGAACCUGAAACCGUGUACGUACAAGCAGUGGGAGCCUCUUUUAUGGGGUGACUGCGUACCUUUUGUAUAAUGGGUCAGCGACUUAUAUUCUGUAGCAAGGUUAACCGAAUAGGGGAGCCGAAGGGAAACCGAGUCUUAACUGGGCGUUAAGUUGCAGGGUAUAGACCCGAAACCCGGUGAUCUAGCCAUGGGCAGGUUGAAGGUUGGGUAACACUAACUGGAGGACCGAACCGACUAAUGUUGAAAAAUUAGCGGAUGACUUGUGGCUGGGGGUGAAAGGCCAAUCAAACCGGGAGAUAGCUGGUUCUCCCCGAAAGCUAUUUAGGUAGCGCCUCGUGAAUUCAUCUCCGGGGGUAGAGCACUGUUUCGGCAAGGGGGUCAUCCCGACUUACCAACCCGAUGCAAACUGCGAAUACCGGAGAAUGUUAUCACGGGAGACACACGGCGGGUGCUAACGUCCGUCGUGAAGAGGGAAACAACCCAGACCGCCAGCUAAGGUCCCAAAGUCAUGGUUAAGUGGGAAACGAUGUGGGAAGGCCCAGACAGCCAGGAUGUUGGCUUAGAAGCAGCCAUCAUUUAAAGAAAGCGUAAUAGCUCACUGGUCGAGUCGGCCUGCGCGGAAGAUGUAACGGGGCUAAACCAUGCACCGAAGCUGCGGCAGCGACGCUUAUGCGUUGUUGGGUAGGGGAGCGUUCUGUAAGCCUGUGAAGGUGUACUGUGAGGUAUGCUGGAGGUAUCAGAAGUGCGAAUGCUGACAUAAGUAACGAUAAAGCGGGUGAAAAGCCCGCUCGCCGGAAGACCAAGGGUUCCUGUCCAACGUUAAUCGGGGCAGGGUGAGUCGACCCCUAAGGCGAGGCCGAAAGGCGUAGUCGAUGGGAAACAGGUUAAUAUUCCUGUACUUGGUGUUACUGCGAAGGGGGGACGGAGAAGGCUAUGUUGGCCGGGCGACGGUUGUCCCGGUUUAAGCGUGUAGGCUGGUUUUCCAGGCAAAUCCGGAAAAUCAAGGCUGAGGCGUGAUGACGAGGCACUACGGUGCUGAAGCAACAAAUGCCCUGCUUCCAGGAAAAGCCUCUAAGCAUCAGGUAACAUCAAAUCGUACCCCAAACCGACACAGGUGGUCAGGUAGAGAAUACCAAGGCGCUUGAGAGAACUCGGGUGAAGGAACUAGGCAAAAUGGUGCCGUAACUUCGGGAGAAGGCACGCUGAUAUGUAGGUGAAGCGACUUGCUCGUGGAGCUGAAAUCAGUCGAAGAUACCAGCUGGCUGCAACUGUUUAUUAAAAACACAGCACUGUGCAAACACGAAAGUGGACGUAUACGGUGUGACGCCUGCCCGGUGCCGGAAGGUUAAUUGAUGGGGUUAGCGGUAACGCGAAGCUCUUGAUCGAAGCCCCGGUAAACGGCGGCCGUAACUAUAACGGUCCUAAGGUAGCGAAAUUCCUUGUCGGGUAAGUUCCGACCUGCACGAAUGGCGUAAUGAUGGCCAGGCUGUCUCCACCCGAGACUCAGUGAAAUUGAACUCGCUGUGAAGAUGCAGUGUACCCGCGGCAAGACGGAAAGACCCCGUGAACCUUUACUAUAGCUUGACACUGAACAUUGAGCCUUGAUGUGUAGGAUAGGUGGGAGGCUUUGAAGUGUGGACGCCAGUCUGCAUGGAGCCGGCCUUGAAAUACCACCCUUUAAUGUUUGAUGUUCUAACGUUGGCCCCUGAUCGGGGUUGCGGACAGUGUCUGGUGGGUAGUUUGACUGGGGCGGUCUCCUCCUAAAGAGUAACGGAGGAGCACGAAGGUUGGCUAAUCCUGGUCGGACAUCAGGAGGUUAGUGCAAUGGCAUAAGCCAGCUUGACUGCGAGCGUGACGGCGCGAGCAGGUGCGAAAGCAGGUCAUAGUGAUCCGGUGGUUCUGAAUGGAAGGGCCAUCGCUCAACGGAUAAAAGGUACUCCGGGGAUAACAGGCUGAUACCGCCCAAGAGUUCAUAUCGACGGCGGUGUUUGGCACCUCGAUGUCGGCUCAUCACAUCCUGGGGCUGAAGUAGGUCCCAAGGGUAUGGCUGUUCGCCAUUUAAAGUGGUACGCGAGCUGGGUUUAGAACGUCGUGAGACAGUUCGGUCCCUAUCUGCCGUGGGCGCUGGAGAACUGAGGGGGGCUGCUCCUAGUACGAGAGGACCGGAGUGGACGCAUCACUGGUGUUCGGGUUGUCAUGCCAAUGGCACUGCCCGGUAGCUAAAUGCGGAAGAGAUAAGUGCUGAAAGCAUCUAAGCACGAAACUUGCCCCGAGAUGAGUUCUCCCUGAGACUUUAAGUCUCCUGAAGGAACGUUGAAGACGACGACGUUGAUAGGCCGGGUGUGUAAGCGCAGCGAUGCGUUGAGCUAACCGGUACUAAUGAACCGUGAGG